rnacentral:rRNA from 1 species
GUGGGGAAUCUUGCGCAAUGGGCGAAAGCCUGACGCAGCCAUGCCGCGUGAAUGAUGAAGGUCUUAGGAUUGUAAAAUUCUUUCACCGGGGACGAUAAUGACGGUACCCGGAGAAGAAGCUCCGGCUAACUUCGUGCCAGCAGCCGCGGUAAUACGAAGGGGGCUAGCGUUGCUCGGAAUUACUGGGCGUAAAGGGCGCGUAGGCGGACAGCUUAGUCAGAGGUGAAAGCCCAGGGCUCAACCUUGGAAUUGCCUUUGAUACUGGGUGUCUUGAGUAUGAGAGAGGUGUGUGGCACUCCGAGUGUAGAGGUGAAAUUCGUAGAUAUUCGGAAGAACACCAGUGGCGAAGGCGACACACUGGCUCAUUACUGACGCUGAGGCGCGAAAGCGUGGGGAGCAAACAGGAUUAGAAACCCCUGUAGUCC